AACGAACGCUGGCGGCAGGCUUAACACAUGCAAGUCGAGCGCCCCGCAAGGGGAGCGGCAGACGGGUGAGUAACGCGUGGGAAUCUACCCAUCUCUACGGAAUAACGCAUGGAAACGUGUGCUAAUACCGUAUACGUCCUUCGGGAGAAAGAUUUAUCGGAGAUGGAUGAGCGCGCGUUGGAUUAGCUAGUUGGUGGGGUAAAGGCCUACCAAGGCGACGAUCCAUAGCUGGUCUGAGAGGAUGAUCAGCGACACUGGGACUGAGACACGGCCCAGACUCCGACGUGAGGCAGCAGUGGGGAGUAUUGGACAAUGGGCGCAAGCCUGAUCCAGCCAUGCCGCGUGAGUGAUGAAGGCCCUAGGGUUGUAAAGCUCUUUCACCGGUGAAGAUAAUGACGGUAACCGGAGAAGAAGCCCCGGCUAACUUCGUGCCAGCCGCCGCCGUAAUAC
rnacentral:rRNA from 1 species